UCACGCCUACGGGACGCAGCAGUGAGGGAUAUUGGUCAAUGGGGGAAACCCUGAACCAGCAACGCCGCGUGAGGGAAGACGGUUUUCGGAUUGUAAACCUCUGUCCUCUGUGAAGAUAAUGACGGUAGCAGAGGAGGAAGCUCCGGCUAACUACGUGCCAGCAGCCGCGGUAAUACGUAGGGAGCGAGCGUUGUCCGGAUUUACUGGGUGUAAAGGGUGCGUAGGCGGGUAAGAAAGUCAGAAGGGAAAUCCAUGGGCUUAACCCAUGAACUGCUUGUGAAACUGUUUAUCUUGAGUG
rnacentral:rRNA from 1 species